rnacentral:rRNA from 1 species
UGAGUUUGAUCCUGGUUCAGGACGAACGCUGGCGGCGUGCUUAACACAUGCAAGUCGAACGAUGAUGCCCAGCUUGCUGGGUUGAUUAGUGGCGAACGGGUGAGUAACACGUGAGUAACCUGCCCUUGACUUCGGGAUAACUCCGGGAAACCGGGGCUAAUACCGGAUAUGAGCCGUCCUCGCAUGGGGGUGGUUGGAAAGUUUUUCGGUCAGGGAUGGGCUCGCGGCCUAUCAGCUUGUUGGUGGGGUGAUGGCCUACCAAGGCGACGACGGGUAGCCGGCCUGAGAGGGCGACCGGCCACACUGGGACUGAGACACGGCCCAGACUCCUACGGGAGGCAGCAGUGGGGAAUAUUGCACAAUGGGCGAAAGCCUGAUGCAGCGACGCCGCGUGAGGGAUGAAGGCCUUCGGGUUGUAAACCUCUUUCAGCAGGGAAGAAGCGCAAGUGACGGUACCUGCAGAAGAAACGCCGGCUAACUACGUGCCAGCAGCCGCGGUAAUACGUAGGCGCAAGCGUUGUCCGGAAUUAUUGGGCGUAAAGAGCUCGUAGGCGGUUUGUCGCGUCUGGUGUGAA